UACAGAGGUCUCAAGCGUUAUCCGGAUUUAUUGGGUUUAAAGGGUGCGCAGGCGGCACGGCAAGCCGGCGGUCAAAUCGCGGGGCUCAACCCCGCCCAGCCGUCGGAACUGCCGGGCUAGAGUGGGCGAGAAGUGCGCGGAAUGCGUGGUGUAGCGGUGAAAUGCAUAGAUAUCACGCAGAACUCCGAUUGCGAAGGCAGCGCACCGGCGCCCUACUGACGCUCAGGCACGAAAGCGUGGGUAUCGAACAGG
rnacentral:rRNA from 1 species